GAGGUUAUCAGUGACCCAUUUAGAGUGAAACAGCAGUUUUUUAUUUGACUAAAGGAGAUUUUAUAUCUUUGACAGGAUCAGAGGAAUAUCAGGGGGCUGAAAAUGACACAAAAAGAUAUUAAAAACAUCUUAAAAAGGAUCUUUUUUUUAACAAAUCAGUGUGUCAGGAAUUAAAGAUAACAUGAAGUCCCCCUCAGCAGACUCUCGUUUGUACUUUGAUAAGGAUUUAAAAUAAUACAAUAAUUUCAUUUUCUCAUUUUAUCAUCGAGAGAGAAAAAAAACAGAGAUAAUGGAGAGAAUAGAAGCUCGUCACGACAUCUGGGAGCUGCGUCAAAAUGAGGUAGUUUACGGUAAAACCAUGUGACCUCACCGAUGUUUGUAAACAUGCGUCAGCCACAUGUGAUGAGGAAAGACUCUCCAGCUGCUCGACCAAUCAGAAAGCGGGGGAGUGUCAGGGGCGUGUCCGCUCCGUGUUGCGCUAUGGAAAAUCAUUAGAGGAUCCACUUGGAUGAAUGUGCGCUCUCUGAAUAAAACAACAACAAGAGGAAGAACAGGGGGGACUGACGGACUGAUGGAGGUCUGAGGGGGGGGGACACCGGCUCCGGGAUGGAUGAGACCCUCAGAGACCCUUCUGUCCGGGACACAAAGACGUAAGUUUGUGAUUUUUCAUGUUUUCAUUAAAAGGAGCAGAGCGAGAGAAACGCUGCGUAUGAGGAGAAAAACCGAGAAAGAGAGAAAAGUGGAGAGAAAAGAGAGAAAAGAGAGAAAAGAGAGGAAAGAGGGAGAGGGUCUGUCUCUGAGAGGACAGAGAAGAGUUGGAGUAGAUCGUGAGUGUUUCAUCACCGACAUGACAACAGGUAAAUUAAACUGCGUCAGCGGAGGGACCGACAAACACAUGGAGUCCGGGGGGAAUUUCCGCUGCUGGGAUGGACCAACAUGCUGUGAAGGUCCGGGUUCGGCUCGGCUCCGAACUGGACUCGAAUCUGAUUAUUAAUGUGAAGAAAUAAAGAUGUAAACAAAGCGUGGAGUCGGCGGUGGAGGGGGGCAUGGCGUGAGAGAGAGAGAGAGAGUGAGAGAGAGAGAGAGAGCUCGGAAUAGGAUGCUGCGCAAGAGAUGGACACAGUGCGUAAUCCUGUUGUGGAGAGGAGGACGAUGUUACGCAGUUGGGAUUGGCACGAUCAUUUCACACCUCGUGUUUCGGACUGACCGCCCGCAGAAGUCUCUCUGCACUGAUUCAGGAUGCGGACUCUCUCCAAACAUGGUCACAGAAUGAGGCACAGGAUGUUCUUUUACCGGAGAGUCCAGGAAAACUUCAGAUCCAGGAGAAGCAGGUCCACAGUGACCCGGCUGGUUCCGUUUUCAGGGGUAUCAGACCACAUCUGCUGCGUCACAAACAUCCCCACAGCUCUUUAGGGGGAAUCUGACUGUUAGUGCGCACUUGAUAUGAUGAAAACAAGCUCGAUUUACUGACCACAGGGGGCGCUGUUGAGUCAGAAAACAAUGGGGAUGUAUAUCUUCUAUAAGGGGCUGUUUACAUUCUCAUGUUCUUGGUUUUCUCCAGAACAUUCAACACUUGGACUCUCUCACCUGACCCGGUUUCUGCUCCUCCAGGACUCGAACCCGUCCUCUCCUAAAGUCAAAGACUCUUUAAUCUUUAACAUUUCUGGAGUUUUAAAGUCUCCAAACUGUUGCUGCUCUCUGACAAACACCCAGCAUGUUUGUGUAACGCAGCACAAUAGGACCCCGACACACCUGAUGUGAUGUCACUCAGGUGGAUGACACCCCCAUGUGAAGGAAGCCCCUCCUCUGAUGACGGCGUAAAUGAGACACAGUUCUUGUAAAGUGGAUUUGUUCAGUCAGUGGGUGAAUCAGCGGUCGACCUCACGAGCUGUUAAAGCACUGGCAGCGGAUUGGAGAGAGAGAGAGAGAGAGAGAGAGAGAGAGAGGAGGGGAGGGGGGAGCUUUCGAGCUUUAAUUAUGUGUACUGAAUAGAAACUUGACUCCCCAGGGAAAGUCACUAUGGUAGUUUUGAAACAAACAGGUAAAGGUCACGGCUGGAAACGAAGAAAGACUCUCAGACGCGGGUUUGAAUUUACCGUCAGUCCUCAUGUUUACCAUCUCCACUGGGGCCCAACUCCAGAACAAGUGACCCACUUUCACACACAAGGAAACGUGACCUCAAUAGUUAUGUUGCUGUUCUUUCAGGGAGGGGCGCUGAAGUCAAACAAACAGACGAGGCCAGAACAAGUGGGCUAAACGAGCGAGACCUCCUUUUAUUCAGAGAAGAAGAAGAAGAAGAAAAGAUCCUGCUCUUUUCAGACGGAGUGAACGCCGCUCAGGGACGAGAGGAGGGGGGGGCUCUAAUGAUGGAUGUUUACAGCAGCAGGAGCAGGGAAAGGGGGGCGGGGCAUCACCUGUAGCCCCCCAGACGAGAGGAAAUGGCGAGUGACCCACUGCCUCUUCAAACAGACCCCUCCCACACACAGAUUAUCGCAGGUGGCGGCGAGCCAAGAGAUGACGGGGCUAAAAUUAAACCUGGAGACUGCUGGCCUCGCUGCUCGACGACGACGACGACGACGAUGAUGAUGAUGAUGAUGAUGAUUAUGAUGAUGAUGUAUUAAUAGACAGGCGGGGUGGGGGGGGCAGCGUUCGUUUACAGUCGUCAUCAUCAGACGGACACCUAACAGGCUGCAAAACAGGUGGAAAAACCCCGUAAUCAACCGAGCCGAGACCCUUCAGGGACACCUCCUGAUUGGUCGCUUUGCCUCUCUCUGCAGGUGUGGCGUCUUCGGGGGUUAAAGGGAAGUUCCGUCAAAUUUUGAGAGUGUUUACGUCCAGAUAAGUUUCAAAACAUGAGAGAGAAAAAAAGAGUCAGAUUGAGUGUUUUCUCAGAAACCUGAUCUCAGAGUUAGGACACCCUUCAGGCACUUUUAAAUCCUCAAUUAUUUGGAGUUAUCCAGCCCGUGAACGAAGCCCCUCCCAUCAUCUGACAGACACGCAGAGCCGGAGCCAGAAGAGGGGGACAAAGAGUUAACCAGCAUGUUCUCUGAAGUUUCAGCCUUAUACCAUCCCAUCUCCGAUUUCCAAACAUUUGGCAAUCUGUUGCUCUGAAGGAGAGAUGAUGAUGAUGCAACGUAGAAGGAGAUAUGUAAGCGAUUACAUAAUGGGAGCAUAAUAGUACUUAGAGUACUCUGUGUCCUAAAGAAGCAGGAAGUGAAGUCUGCUCUGUUACCUUUGGCUUUAAUUGGCCCUCUCAGCCCCGUGAUUCCUUUAUGAUUCGGCUUUUUUGACGGCGGCUCUUAUGUAAGAGCGGGAAUGAUUAGUGGGACUGUGUUCAGGUCGUCACGGAGACGUUCUGCUCUCGUUUAGAAACACAAAUCUGUUUUCCUCCGAUAGAUCCGAGUGUUUGGAGGUGAUUUAAAAACACAUUACCUCGAUGAGUUUGCCCCCCUCACUCCUGAUAAAUUAGGACCUCUAAUCUGUAAGAGGAUUAACCACCUUCCCCAUUUGCACGUGCACACAUGCGCACGGCCCCGCCCCCUCCACUGUUACACACAGACAUGCACUGUUCCUGUAACUUAACCUACUUUUACAUGGCUGUUGUCGGAGCCAUUUGGCAGGUUUGUGGAAGAUUUUCCAACGUGUGGAGGUUAUUGUGCGUGAACUAACAGGCCUAAAUACCCGUGUUUCAUGUCGGGGUCGUGUUCAGGUCAAAGAGCGGCGAGAGAUUUCGGCAGAUUAGAGAAAGAAGAGAGAGAAGAAUAAAAACAAAGAGGGAAGAAUCAGCUCUUAAACACCUUUAUUUAUAAUUUAGUGACUAAAAACAUGUUUCUGUCUAUAUUAUCUUCAUACUUAUCGUCUCAGAGCCUGUCAGUUAUGGUCGGAUGGUAAUAUAAUCUAUAUCUAUAUAUCUAUAUUUAUCUCCAGGGUCAAAGGGCAACUUCUCCAGCCUUCCGCUGAAACAAUAAAAGGUUCACAGUGAAGGUUUUUCGUGUGUUGAGAAACAGAGUUUGAGAGCCGGUUAUUAGCUGCACUUAUUUCUGUUUAAAGACGAUGUCAGAGUCCGAAAGUUCGGACAACCUGCCGAACUUUCAUACCGUUUUUGCUCUGCACACAACAGUUCUCUACGUCAUGAAGCCGUCGCUCGUUAAAAAGUCCUUCUGUCAUCACGAUUCGGCGUUUUGGGUCGUUGCAAAAGUUGUUCCAAUGUAUUUUCGUAUUUCGCUCAAACUCUUCAAAGCUAAUGUUACCGUUAGCCUGAAUCUACAUCUUACAAUAGUGUUAGUAAGUUAGUUACUUAGUUAAUGAGUCAGUUAGUUAGCUGGUUAGUUACUUAGUUAAUGAGUCAGUUAGUUAGCUGGUUAGUUACUUAGUUAAUGAGUCAGUUAGUUAGUUAGCUAGUUGGUUAGCUAGUAAGUUAGUUAGUUAGUUAGUUAGUUAGUUAAUGAGUGAGUGAGUGAGUGAGUUAGUUAAUGAGUGAGUUAGUUAGUUAGUUAGUUAGUUAGCUAGCUAGUUAGUUAGCUAGCCGGUUGUGUCGCCGAAUUCCUCUCUCGCUUUGAGUGAUGAGAACAACACAGUUUAUUUGCAGUAAAUUAAAUAAGACACAUUUUAGCUCUCAGAGCCACUUUUGAAGGAAUAAGCGUCAGAAAAAAUCUGUAACAGAGAGAGAAAACAAAAAACUAACAACAGGCCACAACAUGAAAUUAAACGACAUUUUCGCUAACGUAACAAACUCAAAGUCAAAGUCAGAGAUUCUCCUUGAAAGAAACAACCAACAGAUUCAUCCAACUGAAACAAUCAUAUUUAACGUCGAGGUUUAGCUCAUCUUUGUAUCACUGAGACAGUAAGCUAGCAUCGAUACGCACAAGUCUGAGGCGGCACCAGCAGAGGGCGCUACAGUAACAACACAGAACUCUGAACACCAAAACUUCUGAACUUUAGUACGGAAAAAAAAAACCUGUUAUUUCAUUUUAUUUUAUGAAGAUUUCGAACAGCUGCGCAGCUUCAUAAUCCUAUUUUCACCUUUUUAAAUCACGACUUCAUUAAACAGAAACGACGCUCGGUGUCGCUCAGCUCCUCCUCCCUGGGAAACAAUGCUACCUCUAAUGAAACGUCGGUUCUGCCUGAUGCACACGGUUAAUCUUGUUUGAACCAAAUGGACGUUCUUCUGUAAUUGGAAUCAGAUGUUUAGUUUUUGUCUCUGAUGGAGGACGUUCACACGUAUUCAACUUUAUAUGUAGCAUCUGUUCCUACUGAGGAUGAAUAAAUAAGUUUCAGGUUCAGAGUUUAUCUCAAGUUUUUUUAAAGUAGUUGGUUGUAAAAUUCGCUGAUUGGUCUUUCACAGAGAGCAGACGGUCUGGUGACUUGGCAAAUUUAAAGCUCGGUGCAGAAAUCAGCGUCUCUGCACAAAACACAAAGGGCUCAUGGUUCGAGAGAAACACGGAUGAAAACAGGGUCACAGCCUUCAGGCUUCACUGUCUGUUUUACAGCUCACUCUGUUUUCAUCGUACUCCUGCGAGCAUUUGUGAAAAAGUUUAAGAUUUCAUUAAUCAGGAGGAGGAGGAGGAGGCCUACAUUCAGCUAUCAGAGAGGAAAACAGCAAACAGCUCCUGUUUUAGCAGCCCGGACACUGAAGCAGCAGUGAGAGGAUUAGGCAGGGAAAUUGUCCCUGAAAGACACAUGAAGGUUUUGGAUUAGUUACUACGUCACCUUCGCCAUCAACAGGACAAACACCCGCUGCCGUACGAGGGAGAUAAGACAGAACUACUGACAGACUCCAGGGAGGGUUUUCUGCUUUAACUGUCUGUUCAGGAUAAAAACAGACGGCUUCAUGUGAGGUCUCCAAAGACGCUCGUUCAACAGCAGAGAUUCACACUAACCAGUUUUUACCUAUUUCAGGGCCUGGGUGUCCAUCCUGUGAGGCCCCCUUCUGGACCGGAGGCCUGAGGCAGAACCAGGAGAGGACACGGUAUCCUAAAGUGAAUCUCAGAGAGGUCUCAGGGAGCUGCAGAGGUCUUUGUUUUUGUCCAGAGAGAGAUUCUGAGAGGUCGUCUUCAGUGGGCCACUUCUCAAACUGGGAUCUCAAAAACCUGACGCACUUGUGAAGAUGCUGUGUCAUCCUUAGAGAGGCUGACCAUGACUCAGACUCCAGUCAGCGUCUUCCUGUUUCUGCUUCUAUUUAUGUCUCUUAAAAAUCUAUAACUCAGGGUUUAAAGGACAGGAGUGACAGGUCAGAUGUGGAUCUCUGGGCGGAUCUCAAAAACAUCCGCCUGUUAGAGGAAAUUUUAAUACGGGAUAAAAACCCGUUAACUUUGUGUGAUAUGAAUGCUUUUUUACAUGGACACCGAGUACUGAUCCUUAAAUAAGGAAAUUAUGAGGAAAAAACAAAGUCGACAGUGUUGAAGUGAUGGAAAACAGUUGGUCUCUCAGUCCACUAGAUGGUGCUGCAGGUUUUUUUUAAAGACGUCAGCAGGAAUUAGAGGGAAGUUGGUUGACUCUAAAUUGUAGACGUCAUCAGUUUUUACAGCUUCAGUUGGUGAAGGUUCAGCUCUGCUUUUAUACUCUACUGUCUGAUAAAGCGUCUGCCUGACGGUCCGUAUUAAACUGAAGAAAAAAACAGAUUAAAAAACAAACGAAAACUAAACCAAUCAAACAUGACGACCAAGACCCAAACCGAUCUCUACUGUCCACUUUGAGGGACGUAACCGAAGAGUUCUCAGAGCUGUCUCGAAGUUAAAUCAUCAAAUGUGCAUCUGAGGACUCACAUGUGGACUUUUUAACUAGGCCCCGACCGAUAGAUCGACUGAUCGAUAGAUUACCCAUUAAUCAGCCAAUUUUUUUAAUUUUUUAUGAAGUUAUAGAAAAGCUCUUCACACCGACAGGAAGACCGACUGAUCGGUGUCUCCUCGUCUUCACUCCCGUUCCUCAUUUCCGGUCUGAUCUGCAGACAUGCAGCUGCCUCAGUCAGAGAAGUCGCUCGAUCACUAAUGUGUUCUGUUGUUUAUUCUACCGUUACUGACACGGCUAACAGUGUAGCUAGGCUAAUAGCAGGUGGCUAACUCUAAUGUUAGCUUCAUAUCCCAUGGUGCUUCAGCGUUAAGUGGGCGUGACCGAGACCAGCCCAGGGGGGAACAUGGUGAAGUGGGUUGAACUGAAACUUGUUGACUUAUUGUGUUUUUGACAAACGGGUUUAUUUCCCGUUGAGGUGGACCACUCUCCUCCGUGUCCCUGAGCUGCUGCUUCAGAUCCUCACUCUGCUGUGCUGUGAGGGAGUUAGUGGAUGAAGAUCGGCAUGAGGUCGCUGUAGCGCCAUCUACAGGAGAAGUCGGGGAACUUCUCAAAUGGAGGAACAUUUUCAAAGUGAAACCGAAUCUUAUUCUCCGCAUUUUGUUUAUGAAAAUAUCAGCGAAAAUCGGCGAGUUUUGGCCGAUUACAGAUUAGUCUCAAACGGGCUAAAAUUGGCGGAUUUAAUCGGCUCGUCGAUAAACCGUUCAGGCCCUAAUUUCGAAUCAGUUUGAGUCCCAGUCAGAGUAAACUGAUCCACUGAACCUCUUCUGAUCACGUUUUCUUAAGUGUCUGAGUCUAAACAAACCGACACUCCUCGAGUUUAUUCAGUCAAACAGUCGGUCUCUAUUUUCCACGUU
rnacentral:lncRNA from 1 species